rnacentral:rRNA from 1 species
AUUUUAAUUGAAUGCUAAGAGAAUGGGAAUACAGGAAAAAACUUUUUUUAAAUUAAAAAUUGAAAUUUUUUUAAUUUGUGCAGAAACAAUUAUUAAUAUUAAGGACAAGAAGACCCUAUGAAUUUAUUAAAUUUUAUUUAAUAUGUAAUUACUAUUAGAAAAAUUUUGGCUGGGGCGGCUAAAAAAUAUUUUAAACUUUUUAAAAAUAAAAUGAUCCAUUAUUAAUGAUUAUAUGUUAAAUACUCUAGGGAUAACAGCGUAAA